UACUGGCUCGUGAUCAUCAUUCCACUCCAUGAGUCUAUUUUGAUUGGCAGGUUGGAGAGCCACUCUCUGUGCAAUCCAUUAAGGAGGGGUGGGACCAUCCCUAACCAUCACUCCCUACAGCAGGAGCUCCAGAAUCUUCAGACGGGCGGCGUUGUAGAGGAGGGCGGGGCCUCGGAUCUUCACCCCACCCUCAGGAACAUCAUCCACAGGAUCAAAGCCUACGAGACGGUUGCGUAAUGUAGAGCAACAGCAGCGUGCACUGUGGGCGGGACAUGUGGAGGGGGUGGAGCGUCGUGCUCCAGAGGUGCACUGUUCAGCACUGACCAGCAGGGGGCUCUGUGCCUCCACACACACUGUACUGGAGGCUGAGCUGGAACACACACACACAGCGCUGGAGCACACUCAGACGGCCCUCAUACACUUCAGGACUCAGGUCCAUCAGCUAGAGGCUGAGCUGAGGACAGGACGGCAGCUACACACACACUUCACCUGCACAGACACACACAAAUGUGCACACACACACACAUGUGCCCACACUGACACCGCAAGCCCAGGAAGUCAGACCUCACACACGGCAACUCCAGGAGCUCAAACACCACAGACCUCACAAACUUUACAGACUCAAACUUUACAGACUCAAACUUCAGAGACAGGAACUCAAACUUUACAGACUCAAACUUCACAGACUCAAACUCCAGAGACAGGAACUCAAACUUUACAGACUCAAACUUCACAGACUCAAACUCCAGAGACAGGAACUCAAACUUUACAGACUCAACCUUUACAGACUCAAACUUUACAGACUCAAACUUUACAGACUCAAAUUCCAGAGACAGGAACUCAAACUUUACAGACUCAAACUUUACAGACUCAAAUUCCAGAGACAGAAACUCAAACUUUACAGACUCAAACUUUACAGACUCAAACUUCAGAGACAGGAACUCAAACAUUACAGACUCAAAUUCCAGAGACAGGAACUCAAACUUUACAGACUCAAACAUUACAGACUCAAACUCCAGACACAGGAACUCAAACUUUACAGACUGAAACUCCAGACACAGGAACUCAAACUUUACAGACUGAAACUUCAGAGACAGGAUCUCAAACUUUACAAAAAGCAGGAUGGCCAAAAGACGCAGCCUUGGCCACUGAGCUGAGCGGGGUGAGUGUGGCUACUGCGGUGGAUGGGAGAGUGGGUGUGGUCUCUCACGUGGCUGUAGACGUGC
rnacentral:lncRNA from 1 species